AGAAUAAGAAGGCCAUCGAACAUUACCUCUUUCACCGCAACAAGCCCGUGGACUAUUUCAUCCUCAUUCUGCAGGGGAAGGUGGAGGUGGAGGCAGGGAAGGAGGGAAUGAAGUUUGAAGCUGGGGCUUUCUCCUCGUAUGGGAUGAUGGCUCUCACCGCUACUCCAG